rnacentral:rRNA from 1 species
UGGGGGAUAUUGGACAAUGGGCGAAAGCCUGAUCCAGCCAUGCCGCGUGUGUGAAGAAGGUCUUCGGAUUGUAAAGCACUUUAAGUUGGGAGGAAGGGCAGUAAGCGAAUACCUUGCUGUUUUGACGUUACCGACAGAAUAAGCACCGGCUAACUCUGUGCCAGCAGCCGCGGUAAUACAGAGGGUGCAAGCGUUAAUCGGAAUUACUGGGCGUAAAGCGCGCGUAGGUGGUUCGUUAAGUUGAAUGUGAAAGCCCCGGGCUCAACCUGGGAACUGCAUCCAAAACUGGCGAGCUAGAGUAGGGCAGAGGGUGGUGGAAUUUCCUGUGUAGCGGUGAAAUGCGUAGAUAUAGGAAGGAACACCAGUGGCGAAGGCGACCACCUGGGCUCAUACUGACACUGAGGUGCGAAAGCGUGGGGAGCAAACAGG